AUACGUAGGGGACGAGCGUUGUCCGGAAUUACUGGGCGUAAAGGGCGCGCAGGCGGAUAUUUAAGUCAGCUGUUAAAGCCAUGGGCUCAACUCAUGGAUGCGGUUGAAACUGGGUAUCUUGGGUGCUGGAGAGGUAGGCGGAAUUGCCGGUGUAGCGGUUUAAUGCGUAGAUAUCGGGAAGAACACCAGUGGCGAAGGCUGCUUACUGGCCAGCAACUGACGCUGAGGCGCGAAAGCCAGGGGAGCGAACGGGAUUAGAUACCCCGGUAGUCCUGGCCGUAAACGAUGAAUGCUAGGUGUGGGUGUCGAGAGGAAUCCGUGCCGGAGUUAACGCGAUAAGCAUUCCGCCUGGGGAGUACGGUCGCAAGAUUGAAACUCAAAUGAAUUGGCGGGG
rnacentral:rRNA from 1 species